UGGGGAAUUUUGGACAAUGGGCGCAAGCCUGAUCCAGCCAUGCCGCGUGCAGGAUGAAGGCCCUCGGGUUGUAGACUGCUUUUGUACGGAACGAAAAGCCUCUUUCUAAUAAAGAGGGGUGAUGACGGUACCGUAAGAAUAAGAACCGGCUAACUACGUGCCAGCAGCCGCGGUAAUACGUGGGGUGCGAGCGUUAAUCGGAAUUACUGGGCGUAAAGCGUGCGCAGGCGGUCUUGCAAGACAGUGGUGAAAUCCCCGGGCUCAACCUGGGAACUGCCAUUGUGACUGCAAGGCUGGAGUACGGCAGAGGGGGAUGGAAUUCCGCGUGUAGCAGUGAAAUGCGUAGAUAUGCGGAGGAACACCGAUGGCGAAGGCAGUCCCCUGGGCCUGUACUGACGCUCAUGCACGAAAGCGUGGGGAGCAAACA
rnacentral:rRNA from 1 species